rnacentral:rRNA from 1 species
GACGAACGCUGGCGGCGUGCUUAACACAUGCAAGUCGAACGGAAAGGCCAUGCUCUUGUGGGGUGCUCGAGUGGCGAACGGGUGAGUAACACGUGAGUAACCUGCCCUUGACUUUGGGAUAACUUCAGGAAACUGGGGCUAAUACCGGAUAGGAGCUCCUGCUGCAUGGUGGGGGUUGGAAAGUUUCGGCGGUUGGGGAUGGACUCGCGGCUUAUCAGCUUGUUGGUGGGGUAGUGGCUUACCAAGGCUUUGACGGGUAGCCGGCCUGAGAGGGUGACCGGCCACAUUGGGACUGAGAUACGGCCCAGACUCCUACGGGAGGCAGCAGUGGGGAAUAUUGCACAAUGGGCGGAAGCCUGAUGCAGCAACGCCGCGUGCGGGAUGACGGCCUUCGGGUUGUAAACCGCUUUCGCCUGUGACGAAGCGUGAGUGACGGUAAUGGGUAAAGAAGCACCGGCUAACUACGUG